rnacentral:rRNA from 1 species
GACGAACGCUGGCGGCGUGCUUAACACAUGCAAGUCGAACGGAAAGGCCCUGCUUUUGUGGGGUGCUCGAGUGGCGAACGGGUGAGUAACACGUGAGUAACCUGCCCUUGACUUUGGGAUAACUUCAGGAAACUGGGGCUAAUACCGGAUAGGAGCUCCUGCUGCAUGGUGGGGGUUGGAAAGUUUCGGCGGUUGGGGAUGGACUCGCGGCUUAUUAGCUUGUUGGUGGGGUAGUGGCUUACCAAGGCUUUGACGGGUAGCCGGCCUGAGAGGGUGCCCGGCCACAUUGGGAAUGAGAUACGGCCCACACCCCAACAGAAGGCAGCAGUGGGGAAUAUUGCACAAUGGGCGGAAGCCUGAUGCAGCAACUCCGCGUGCGGGAUGACGGCCUUCGGGUUGUAAACCGCUUUCGCCUGUGACGAAGCGUGAGUGACGGUAAUUGGUAAAGAAGCACCGGCUAACUACGUG